UACGGAGGAUGCGAGCGUUAUCCGGAUUUACUGGGUGUAAAGGGAGCGCAGGCGGUCUGGCAAGUCUGAUGUGAAAGGCCGGGGCUCAACUCCGGGACUGCAUUGGAAACUGUCAGACUGGAGUGUCGGAGAGGUAAGCGGAAUUCCUAGUGUAGCGGUGAAAUGCGUAGAUAUUAGGAGGAACACCAGUGGCGAAGGCGGCUUACUGGACGAUGACUGACGCUGAGGCUCGAAAGCGUGGGGAGCAAACAGG
rnacentral:rRNA from 1 species